UCCCUGGUGGUCCAGUGGUUAAGACACCACAUUUCCAUUGCAGGGGACUCCGGUUAGACCCCUGAUCAGGGAA
rnacentral:tRNA from 1 species